CCUACGGGCGGCAGCAGUGAGGAAUAUUGGUCAAUGGACGAGAGUCUGAACCAGCCAAGUAGCGUGAAGGAUGACUGCCCUAUGGGUUGUAAACUUCUUUUAUAUGGGAAUAAAACGUUCCACGUGUGGGAUUUUGUAUGUACCAUAUGAAUAAGGAUCGGCUAACUCCGUGCCAGCAGCCGCGGUAAUACGGAGGAUCCGAGCGUUAUCCGGAUUUAUUGGGUUUAAAGGGAGCGUAGGGGGGUUGUUAAGUCAGUUGUGAAAGUUUGCGGCUCAACCGUAAAAUUGCGGUUGAAACUGGCAGUCUUGAGUACAGUAGAGGUGGGCGGAAUUCGUGGUGUAGCGGUGAAAUGCUUAGAUAUCAUGAAGAACUCCGAUUGCGAAGGCAGUUCACUGGACUGCAACUGACACUGAGGCUCGAAAGUGUGGGUAUCAAACAGGAUUAGAUACCCUUGUAGUC
rnacentral:rRNA from 1 species